rnacentral:rRNA from 1 species
GACGAACGCUGGCGGCGUGCUUAACACAUGCAAGUCGAACGAAGUGGCGAACGGGUGAGUAACGCGUAAUCAACCUGCCCUUCAGAGGGGGACAACAGUUUGAAACGACUGCUAAUACCGCAUACUGAAGGAGGGGAUUUCGUCUGCUUAGCUAGUUGGAGGGGUAACGGCUCACCAAGGCGAUGAACAGUAGCCUGUCUGAGAUGAGGAACGGCCACAUUGGGACUGGGACACGGCCCAGACUCCGACGGUAGGCAGACGUGGGGAAUCUUCCGCAAUGGACGAAAGUCUGACGGAGCAACGCCGCGUGAGUGAUGACGGCCUUCGGGUUGUAAAGCUCUGUUAAUCGGUACGCGGUACCGGAAUAGAAAGCCACGGCUAACUACGUGCCAGCCGCCGCGGUAAUAC